GACGAACCGUGCAAACGUUAUUCGGAAUCACUGGGCCUAAAGGGCGCGUAGGCGGCUUCAUAAGUCAGGGGUGAAAUCCGGCAGCUUAACUGUCGCAGUGCCUUUGAUACUGUGGAGCUCGAGGGAGGUAGGGGUCUGUGGAACUUCCGGUGGAGCGGUGAAAUGCGUUGAUAUCGGAAGGAACGCCGGUGGCGAAAGCGACGGACUGGAUCUCUUCUGACGCUGAGGCGCGAAAGCCAGGGGAGCAAACGGG
rnacentral:rRNA from 1 species